rnacentral:rRNA from 1 species
CCCUUAGAUGUUCUGGGCCGCACGCGCGCUACACUGAUGCAUUCAACGAGUUUCUUCCUGGUCCGAGAGGAAUGGGUAACCUUUUGAAAGUGCAUCGUGAUAGGGAUAGACUAUUGCAAUUAUUGGUCUUCAACGAGGAAUUCCUAGUAGACGUAGUUCAUCAGACUGCAUCGAUUACGUCCCUGCCCUUUGUACACACCGCCCGUCGCUACUACUGAUUGGAUGUUUAAGCGAGGUUCUCGAACUGCUAGCGACUUAGCUUCGGUGAGGUCGCAGUGUGGGAAGUGAACCUAGCUUUGGUGUCUAGAGGAAGUAAAAGUCGUAACA